rnacentral:rRNA from 1 species
UACGUAGGGUGCAAGCGUUAAUCGGAAUUACUGGGCGUAAAGCGUGCGCAGGCGGUUUUGUAAGACAGAGGCGAAAUCCCCGGGCUCAACCUGGGAACUGCCUUUGUGACUGCAAGGCUUGAGUGCGGCAGAGGGGGAUGGAAUUCCGCGUGUAGCAGUGAAAUGCGUAGAUAUGCGGAGGAACACCGAUGGCGAAGGCAGUCCCCUGGGCCUGUACUGACGCUCAUGCACGAAAGCGUGGGGAGCAAACAGG